UGGGGAAUUUUGGACAAUGGGCGAAAGCCUGAUCCAGCAAUGCCGCGUGUGUGAAGAAGGCCUUCGGGUUGUAAAGCACUUUUGUCCGGAAAGAAAUCCUUGGCUCUAAUACAGUCGGGGGAUGACGGUACCGGAAGAAUAAGCACCGGCUAACUACGUGCCAGCAGCCGCGGUAAUACGUAGGGUGCAAGCGUUAAUCGGAAUUACUGGGCGUAAAGCGUGCGCAGGCGGUUUGCUAAGACCGAUGUGAAAUUCCCGGGCUCAACCUGGGAACUGCAUUGGUGACUGGCAGGCUAGAGUAUGGCAGAGGGGGGUAGAAUUCCACGUGUAGCAGUGAAAUGCGUAGAGACGUGGAGGAAUACCGAUGGCGAAGGCAGCCCCCUGGGCCAAUACUGACGCUCAUGCACGAAAGCGUGGGGAGCAAACAGGAUUAGAUACCCUGGUAGUCCACGCCCUAAACGAUGUCAACUAGUUGUUGGGGAUUCAUUUCCUUAGUAACGUAGCUAACGCGUGAAGUUGACCGCCUGGGGAGUACGGUCGCAAGAUUAAACUCAAGGAAUUGACGGGGUCAUAGCUGUUUCCU
rnacentral:rRNA from 1 species